rnacentral:rRNA from 1 species
AUUGAACGCUGGCGGCAGGCCUAACACAUGCAAGUCGAACGAGCGGCGGACGGGUGAGUAAUGUCUGGGAAACUGCCUGAUGGAGGGGGCUAACUGCUGGAAACGGUGGCUAAUACCGCAUACCAUCAGAUGUGCCCAGGUGGAAUUAGCUAGGAGGUGGGGUAAAGGCUCACCGAGGCGACGAUCCCUAGCUGGUCUGAGAGGAUGACCAGCCACACUGGAACUGAGACACGGCCCAGACUCCUACGGGAGGCAGCAGUGGGGAAUAUUGCACAAUGGGCGAAAGCCUGAUGCAGCCAUGCCGCGUGUGUGAAGAAGGCCUUCGGGUUGUAAAGCACUUUCAGCGAGGAGGCGUUACCCGCAGAAGAAGCACCGGCUAACUCCGUGCCAGCAGCCGCGGUAAUAC